rnacentral:rRNA from 1 species
GAUGAACGCUAGCGGUGCGCCUAACACAUGCAAGUCGAGCGGUAGAUUUUCUAGCUUGCUAGAAAAUUGAGAGCGGCGAACGGGUGAGUAUUACUUUAGUACCUACCCCCAAGUCAGGGAUAGCCCAGAGAAAUCUGGAUUAAUACCGGAUGUGCUGGAGACAGUAAAGCCUUCGGGCGCUUGGGGAGGGGCUUCAGUCCUAUCAGUUAGUUGGUAAGGUAAAGGCUUACCAAGACUAUGACGGGUAGCUGGUCUGAGAGGAUGGUCAGCCACAAUGGAACUGAGACACGGUCCAU